rnacentral:rRNA from 1 species
AUACAGAGGGUGCAAGCGUUAAUCGGAAUUACUGGGCGUAAAGCGCGCGUAGGCGGUUUAAUCAGUCGGAUGUGAAAGCCCCGGGCUCAACCUGGGAACUGCAUUCGAUACUGUUAAGCUAGAGUAUGGUAGAGGGAAGUGGAAUUCUAGGUGUAGCGGUGAAAUGCGUAGAUAUCUGGAGGAACAUCAGUGGCGAAGGCGACUUCCUGGACCAAUACUGACGCUGAGGUGCGAAAGCGUGGGGAGCAAACAGGAUUAGAAACCCUAGUAGUCC